rnacentral:rRNA from 1 species
UACGUAGGGUGCGAGCGUUAAUCGGAAUUACUGGGCGUAAAGCGUGCGCAGGCGGUUUUGUAAGCCAGAUGUGAAAGCCCCGGGCUUAACCUGGGAAUGGCAUUUGGGACUGCAAGGCUUGAGUGCGGCAGAGGAGACUGGAAUUCCUGGUGUAGCAGUGAAAUGCGUAGAUAUCAGGAGGAAUACCGAUGGCGAAGGCAGGUCUCUGGGCUGACACUGACGCUCAUGCACGAAAGCGUGGGGAGCAACAGG